GACGAACGCUGGCGGCGUGCUUAACACAUGCAAGUCGAACGGUAAGGCCCUUCGGGGUACACGAGUGGCGAACGGGUGAGUAACACGUGGGUGAUCUGCCCUGCACUUCGGGAUAAGCCUGGGAAACUGGGUCUAAUACCGGAUAGGACCCUGGGAUGCAUGUCCUGGGGUGGAAAGCUUUUGCGGUGUGGGAUGGGCCCGCGGCCUAUCAGCUUGUUGGUGGGGUGAUGGCCUACCAAGGCGACGACGGGUAGCCGGCCUGAGAGGGUGACCGGCCACACUGGGACUGGGCUACGGCCCAGACUCCUACGGGAGGCAGCAGUGGGGAAUAUUGCACAAUGGGCGCAAGCCUGAUGCAGCGACGCCGCGUGGGGGAUGACGGCCUUCGGAUUGUAAACCUCUUUCAGCACCGACGAAGCGCAAGUGACGGUAGGUGCAGAAGAAGGACCGGCCAACUACGUGCCAGCCGCCGCCGUAA
rnacentral:rRNA from 1 species